GUGCUGGCAGUGUUUGGCCCACUGUCAUUUCUGCCACAUCUAGGUUGGAAGCUGUCAGCACUCAGUAUCAUAAGGCACUUGGGAACGCUGUCUUGGGUUGUGGCUGUGGCUCUGUUUCUUUCUCCUAAGUUUCCUUCUAUGCUACUAACUAAAGGCUGUCAAUAGGUGGGCUUUCUCAGUGUUACCCACUGGAAGGGACAUUUCUGGCUCAGGUGUGUUGGUCCCAGUUUAGGUUUGUCCACAGCAUAUUUUAGCAGGUGCUAUUGUUUGGAUCUUAAGUGUCCCCAAGAGGCCCUAAAGGUUUGGUCCCCGGUGCUUUGGGAGCUUGUGGACCUUUAGGAGGCGGGGCCUCAUGGGAGGCCUUUAGGUCACAGGGCCUGUGCCCCAAAGGGAACAGUGAGGUCCCAGCCCUUCCCCUUCCUCCUUUUUCACUUCCCAGCCAUAAGGUGGGGGGUUUUGCUGGGUCACCUGCUUCUGCCAUGAUUCACUGCAAAGCAAUGGGGUCAGUGGAUUGUGAGCUGGAAUUUCUAAAACUCGGAGUGAAGGUGAAUCUUUCAUCUUUGUAAGUAGAUUACCUCAGGUGUCCUGCAGGGACAGACACAGCACACCCUUAAACACAGCCAGGAAGCCUCCUCACUGGACAGGGGCAGAUGGGAAGCCCAGGACCAGUGUGACCCCUGCAGAACGUCAGAACCCCAGGGCAUCCGGGAAAUGGCCAGGGAUGGAGAUGGCAAAGAGCUCAGUGGGGCUUCCUGACACGGGAGUCGGGGCACGACGCCGACGCUGCUCUGUGUGAUGCUGCCAUGGUGAGUCCACAUCACCACAUGCUGGGCCAAAGCCAUCCAGGGGACAGCACCUAGAGUGAGCCCGGAUACGGACUAGUGCCGGGUGACUGUGAGGGCUCGUUGACUGGACCAGCAGCGCCCUCUGGUGGGCAUCUGGGCAUUCUACAACUGUUUCCCUCGGAAGGGGAGCCCUGUUAAGAGUUUAGCCUUAAUGUGUCCCCCUAAAGCCUCCUGUGUUUAGAAGGUGAUUGGGUUGGGGGUGCCGUAAUCACCAGUGGAUUAAUCCACUGUUUCCUGUUAGGAGGUGGGGCCUGGCUGGAGAUGGGUCACUGGGGGUGACCUGGAAGGGAGAAUUCUUGUCCCCAGCUCCUCUGCUUCCUACCUGUCACGGGUUGAGCGCCUUUUUCUCCUCCAGGACCCUCUGCCCUGCUGUUCCUGCCUUGGAGCCUCCUGGCCAUGGGCUGAAAUCAUGAGCCAAAAUAAACCUCUCCUC
rnacentral:lncRNA from 1 species